AUACAGAGGGUGCGAGCGUUGUCCGGAAUCACUGGGCGUAAAGGGCGCGUAGGCGGCCUGAUAAGUAGGGGGUGAAAUCUUGCGGCUCAACUGCAAGGCUGCCUCCUAAACUGCCAGGCUGGAGCACGGUAGAGGCUGAUGGAAUUCCCGGUGUAGCGGUGGAAUGCGUAGAGAUCGGGAAGAACAUCGGUGGCGAAGGCGGUCUGCUGGGCCGUUGCUGACGCUGAGGCGCGACAGCGUGGGGAGCAAACAGGA
rnacentral:rRNA from 1 species